CCAUCCAGAACUGAAGAGGAGCAUCUGAGUCCUUCUCUUUAUACACCACCUGAGAAAAAAUAUUUGACUAUAACAUGCACUGAUAGGACCCUGCACAUUUAUUAAGCAAGUAAUUUGAUUUUAUAUUGACUAUAAACUUUUAGUUCUUUUCAGAUUAUCCAAAGCGGCUUACAAUGGAUUCAAGCUACGCAAACAUAUAAAGGUCUCACAGACCUUAUAGCCCAGGAUGAGUCCAUUCCGGUCCGGUUCGGGAACUUCAAACCACCGAACCAGGAUGCUGCUGGAGGUGGUGGCAAAUGCAGAGACAUUGGUGGGGCCACAGGAGGGGACUACACCAAAACAGAUGAAGA